UACGAAGGGGGCUAGCGUUGCUCGGAAUCACUGGGCGUAAAGCGCACGUAGGCGGAUUGCUAAGUCAGGGGUGAAAUCCUGGAGCUCAACUCCAGAACUGCCUUUGAUACUGGCGACCUUGAGUCCGGGAGAGGUGAGUGGAACUGCGAGUGUAGAGGUGAAAUUCGUAGAUAUUCGCAAGAACACCAGUGGCGAGGGCGGCUCACUGGCCCGGUACUGACGCUGAGGUGCGAAAGCGUGGGAAGCAAACAGG
rnacentral:rRNA from 1 species